rnacentral:rRNA from 1 species
GUGGGGAAUAUUGCACAAUGGGGGAAACCCUGAUGCAGCGACGCCGCGUGAGUGAAGAAGUAUUUCGGUAUGUAAAGCUCUAUCAGCAGGGAAGAAAAUGACGGUACCUGACUAAGAAGCCCCGGCUAACUACGUGCCAGCAGCCGCGGUAAUACGUAGGGGGCAAGCGUUAUCCGGAUUUACUGGGUGUAAAGGGAGCGUAGGUGGCAUGGUAAGCCAGAAGUGAAAACCCAGGGCUCAACUCUGCGGAUUGCUUUUGGAACUAUCAAGCUAGAGUGCUGGAGGGGUAAGCGGAAUUCCUAGUGUAGCGGUGAAAUGCGUAGAUAUUAGGAGGAACACCGGUGGCGAAGGCGGCUUACUGGACAGAAACUGACACUGAGGCUCGAAAGCGUGGGGAGCAAACAGGAUUAGAAACCCCAGUAGUCC